UACGAAGGGGGCUAGCGUUGCUCGGAAUUACUGGGCGUAAAGGGCGCGUAGGCGGGUCGUUAAGUUAGAGGUGAAAGCCCAGGGCUCAACCCUGGAAUUGCCUUUGAUACUGGCGGCCUUGAGUAUGGCAGAGGUGUGUGGAACUCCGAGUGUAGAGGUGAAAUUCGUAGAUAUUCGGAAGAACACCAGUGGCGAAGGCGGCUCACUGGACCGGCAUUGACGCUGAGGUGCGAAAGCGUGGGGAGCAAACAGG
rnacentral:rRNA from 1 species